GACGAACGCUGGCGGCGUGCUUAACACAUGCAAGUCGAACGGAAAGGCCCUGCUUUUGUGGGGUGCUCGAGUGGCGAACGGGUGAGUAACACGUGAGUAACCUGCCCUUGACUUUGGGAUAACUUCAGGAAACUGGGGCUAAUACCGGAUAGGAGCUCCUGCUGCAUGGUGGGGGUUGGAAAGUUUCGGCGGUUGGGGAUGGACUCGCGGCUUAUCAGCUUGUUGGUGGGGUAGUGGCUUACCAAGGCUUUGACGGGUAGCCGGCCUGAGAGGGUGACCGGCCACAUUGGGACUGAGAUACGGCCCAGACUCCUACGGGAGGCAGCAGUGGAGAAUAUUGCACAAUGGGCGGAAGCCUUAUGCAGCAACGCCGCGUGCGGGAUGACGGCCUUCGGGUUGUAAACCGCUUUCGCCUGUGACGAAGCGUGAGUGACGGUAAUGGGUAAAGAAGCACCGGCUAACUACGUG
rnacentral:rRNA from 1 species